rnacentral:rRNA from 1 species
CUACGGGGUGCACCAGUGGGGAAUAUUGGACAAUGGGGGAAACCCUGAUCCAGCAAUGCCGCGUGUGUGAAGAAGGCCUGCGGGUUGUAAAGCACUUUCGGUUGGGAGGACUGCUUCUAGCACUAAUAUUGUUGGAAGUUGACGUUACCUUCAGAAGAAGCACCGGCUAACUCCGUGCCAGCAGCCGCGGUAAUACGGAGGGUGCAAGCGUUAAUCGGAAUUACUGGGCGUAAAGCGCGCGUAGGCGGCUAAAUCAGUCGGGUGUGAAAGCCCCGGGCUUAACCUGGGAACUGCAUCCGAUACUGUCUAGCUUGAGUACAGGAGAGGAGAGUGGAAUUCCACAUGUAGCGGUGAAAUGCGUAGAUAUGUGGAGGAACACCAAUGGCGAAGGCAGCUCUCUGGCCUGAUACUGACGCUGAGGUGCGAAAGCGUGGGGAGCAGACAGGAUUAGAUACCCUUGUAGUC